rnacentral:lncRNA from 1 species
AGUAUUCAACCCCUUUUUUAUUUGCAAGACUAAAUAAGUUCAGGAAUAAAAAUGUGCUUAACAAGUCACAUAAUAAGUUGCAUGGACUCAUUCGGUGUGGAAUAACAGUGUUUAACAUUAUUUUUGAAUGACUACCUCAUCUCUGUACCCCACACAUACAAUUAUCUGUAAGGUCCCUCAGUUGAGCAGUGAAUUUCAAACACAGAUUCAACCACAAAGACCAGGGAGGUUUUCCAAGGCCUGUUUACAACAAGGCACUAAAGUUAUCCUGCAAAACAUGUGGCAAAGCAAUUCACUUUUUGUCAUGAAUACAAAGUGUUAUGUUUGGGGCAAAUCCAAUACAACACAUUACUGAGUACCACUCUUCAUAUUUUCAAGCAUAGUGGUGGCUGCAUCAUGUUAUGGUUAUGCUUGGGGAGUUUUUCAGGAUAAAAAAGAAACGGAAUAAAGCUAAGCACAAGCAAAAUACUAGAGGAAAACCUUGUUCAGUCUGCUUUCCACCAGACCCUGGAAGAUGAAUUCACCUUUCAGCAGGACAAUAACCUAAAACUCAAGUCCAAAUCUACACUGGAGUUGCUUACUAAGAAGACAGCGAAUGUUCCUGAGUGGCUGAGUAACAUUUUUGACUUAAAUCUGCUGAAAAUCUAUGGCAAGACUUGAAAAUGGUUGUCUAGCAAUAAUCAACAACCAAUUUGACAGAGCUUGAAGAAUUCAGAAAAUACUAAUGGGCAAAUGUUACACAAUCCAGGUGUGGACAGCUCUUAGGUCGUGUCUACACUUGACACCUACAUACGACUUCUGCUAUCAGAAUACGAAGAUGGCAUUGAAAAGACGGGUCUAGAUGCACAAAAGUGGCUUUGUGGAGUUCUUGUGUUCAGAUCUGUGGGAUGCAUUAUGUGUGGAUUUCUCCUCAGUCUGGACGCAAUCAGGCUACCGAAAGUGCAUACAGUGGGCAACAUCAUCAGCACUCCUCCCACAAGUCUCCAGAAAACUUGUGUUUUGGACCGAGAGGUACCAUUUCAUUAUGAUGUUGGAAGAAAUACAUUCCUAGCGUGUGAGGAACGUGUUUGCUGGUCUCAUAAAAUGCUAGCCAGCUACCUAAUAUUUAGAAAAAAUAUUUUUUGUUUAGCUAGAGUUAUGCUAACCUACAGAGGUUAGCUGGCUAGUUAGCUACAGUAGUUAGCUACUGCCAUCAGUUGUUGUGUUAUAAUAUUUUGCCUAUUCCACCAUUUGUAGAAUGCCUACUGGCAUUUGGAUAUAUAGUAUGGGAAUGGGGAAUCCGGACACAUUGUUGGACACAUUUAAAUGUAGAUACAUGACAGAAUUCCAUGAUCAGAACUCUAAAGCUGCAUGAACUGUCAAGUCUAGACCCGGCCUUAUAGACUUACCCAGAAAGACUAACAGCUGUAAUCGCUACCGAAGACACUUAUAGAAAGCAUUGACUCACGGGGGUGAAUACUUAUGUUAAUGAGAUAUUUCUGUGUUUCAUUUUCAAUAAAUACUUACAGUACCAGUCAAAUGUUUGGACACACCUACUCAUUCAAGGGAUAUUAACUUUAUUUUUUACUAUUUUCUACAUUGUAGAAUAAUAGUGAAGACAUCAAAACUAUGAAAUAACACAUAUGGAAUCAUGUAGUAACCAAAAAAGUGUUAAACCAAUCAAAAUAGAUUUUAGAUUCUUCAAAGUAGCCACCCUUUGCCUUGAUGACAGCUUUGCACACUCUUGGCAUUCUCUCAAUCAGCUUCAUCUGAAAUGCUUUUCCAACAGUCUUGAAGAAGUUCACACAUAUGCUGAGCACUUGAUGGCUGCUUUUCCUUCACUCUGCAGGUCCAACUCAUCCCAAACCAUCUCAAUUGGUUUGAGGUUGGGUGAUUGUGGAGGCCAAGUCAUCUGAUGCAGCACUCCAUCACUCUCCUUCUUGGUCAAAUAGCCCUUACACAGCCUGGAGGAGUGUUGAGUCAUUGUCUUGUUGGAAAACAAAUGAUAGUCCCACUAAGGGCAAACCAGAUGGGAUGGUGUAUCGCUGCAUAAUGCUGUGGUAGCCAUGCUGGUUAAGUGUGCCUUGAAUUCCAAAUAACUCACAGACAGUGUCACCAGCAAAGCACCCCCACACCAUCACACCUCCUCCUCCAUGCUUCACGGUGGGAACCACACAUGCGGAGAUCAUCCGUUCACCUACUCUGCGUCUCACAAAGACACGGCGGUUAGAACAAAAAAUCUCAAAUUUGGACUCAUCAGACCAAAGGACAGAUUUCCACUGGUCUAAUGUCCAAUGCUCAUGUUUCUUGGACAAGCAAGUCUCUUCUUCUUAUUUGUGUCCUUAAUUAAGUAGUGGUUUCUUAGCAGCAAUUCGACCAUGAAGGCCUGAUUCAUGCAGUCUCCUCUGAACAGUUGACGUUGAGAUGUGUCUGUAACUUGAACUCUGUGAAGCAUUUAUUUGGGCUGCAAUUUCUGAGGCUGGUAAGUCUAAUGAACUUAUCCUCUGCAGCAGAGGUAACUCUGGGUCUUCCAUUCCUGUGGCGGUCCUCAUGAGAGCCAGUUUCAUCAUAGCACGUGAUGGCUUUUGCGAUUGCACUUGAAAAAACGUUAAAAGUUCUUGAAAUUUUCCGGAUUGACUGACCUUCAUGUCUUAAAGUAAUGAUGGACUGUCAUUUCUCUUUGCUUAUUUGAGGUGUUCUUGCCAUAAUAUGGACUUGGUCUUUUACCAAAUAGGGCUUUCUUCUGUAUACCACCCCUACCUUGUCACAACACAACUGAUUGGCUCAAACACAUUAAGAACAAAAUAAAUUCCACAAAUUAACUUUUAACAAGGCACCCCUCUUAAUUGAAAUGCUAUCUAGGUGACUACCUCAUGAAGAUGUUUGAGAGAAUGCCAAGAGUGUGCAAAGUUGUCAUCAAGGCAAAGGUUGGCUGCUUUGAAGAAUCUCAAUUAUAAAAUAUAUUUUGAUUUGUUUAACUAUUUAUUGGUUACUACAUGAUUCCAUGUGUUAUUUCAUCAUUUUCAUGUCUUCAAUAUUAUUCUACAAUGUAGAAAAUAGUUAAAAAAAAUAAGAAAACCCCUUGAAUGAGUAGGUGUGUGAAAACCUUUGACUGAUACUGUAUAUUUCAUCCAUUUUGAACUCAGCCUGUAACAUAACAAAAUGUGGAAUACGUCAAGGGGUAUGGAUACUUUCUGAAGGCAGUGUAAGUGAACAAGGUAAGGUUAAACCGUGGGAAAGAGACUAGGGGAGAUAGUAGCCAGAUAGAGAGGGCAUCAGUGAACAGCUAAGAGCCUGUACUUAGUGUCUUUAAAGAAAACGCUUUGAAAAGCCACUCACACUGUUAGUCUUUGAGCAGACCUCCCCAAACCUAUAAACUUAUAGAGAGAAAGAGGGAGGGAAGGACCAAAAGGGAGGAGUGUGUGUAUGUGUGUGUAAUGGUUUGUGAGUCGCUCCAGGGGGGUCUGUGCUAUGUAAGUGAUGAUGUGUGUGUUGAUGUUUGUAUGAUGAUAGGUUAGUUGUUCAGGAGGGUGUGUGUGUGUUGAUGUUAGUAUGAUGAUAGGUUAGUUGUUCAGGAGGGUGUGUGUUGAUGUUAGUAUGAUGAUAGGUUAGUUGUUCAGGAGGGUGUGUGUGUGUUGAUGUUAGUAUGAUGAUAGGUUAGUUGUUCAGGAGGGUGUGUGUGUGUUGAUGUUAGUAUGAUGAUAGGUUAGUUGUUCAGGAGGGUGUGUGUUGAUGUUAGUAUGAUGAUAGGUUAGUUGUUCAGGAGGGUGUGUGUGUGUUGAUGUUAGUAUGAUGAUAGGUUAGUUGUUCAGGAGGGUGUGUGUUGAUGUUAGUAUGAUGAUAGGUUAGUUGUUCAGGAGGGUGUGUGUUGAUGUUAGUAUGAUGAUAGGUUAGUUGUUCAGGAGGGUGUGUGUGUGUUGAUGUUAGUAUGAUGAUAGGUUAGUUGUUCAGGAGGGUGGGUGUGUGUUGAUGUUAGUAUGAUGAUAGGUUAGUUGUUCAGGAGGGUGUGUGUUGAUGUUAGUAUGAUGAUAGGUUAGUUGUUCAGGAGGGUGUGUGUGUGUUGAUGUUAGUAUGAUGAUAGGUUAGUUGUUCAGGAGGGUGUGUGUUGAUGUUAGUAUGAUGAUAGGUUAGUUGUUCAGGAGGGUGGGUGUGUCUUUACGUGGGUUUUGGGAGGGAGUGAGUUUGUGUAUUUGGUUUGUAUGGACACCGGAAUGUAUUUAAGUGUUCAGUUUGAGAGUGUAUAUAGGUAGGCAGGUUUGAACAAGAGGGUUGACCAUGACAGAAACUAGGGUUGCAUCCCAAAUGGCACCCAAUAGCCUGCACAGUGCACUACUUUUGACCAGAGCCCUAUGGGGAAUAGGGUGCCAUUUGGGACGCAGCCUAGGGAAUCAAGGCCCUGGGCUUUAGAGGAUAGACAUUGUGACAGAGACCUGUGGCGUCUCCAGGACCUGACUCAUAGACCAGGAACUCAGAGUCAGGGAGAGACGAGGGUGGUGGGGGUCAGGGCGAGACGAGGGUGGUGGGUUUGGGACGAAGGUGGGGGAAGGGGGGUUAAUGGAACUUUUAUGGGUUUGUCGUGCAAUCAUGUGACCCCUGGCAUCUUUCCCCUUUCUCUCUCCCUUUCUCCCCCUUCUCUCUCCCUCUCUCACCCCUUCUCUCGGUCUCUCUCUCAAUUUCAAUUCAAAGGGAUUUAUUGGCAUGGCAAAUGGUGUUUGUUCUUCACUGGUUGACCUUUCCUUGUGGCAACAGGUCAUGCUGCUGUUGUGCUGUUGUUGUGAUGGCACACUGGUAUUUCAUCCAAUAGAUAUGAGAGUUUAUUAAGAUUGAAUGUGUUUUCAAAUUCUUUGUGGGUCUGUGUUAUCUGAGGGAAAUAGGUCUUUAAUAUGGUCAUACAUUUGGUUAGGAAGUGCAGCUCGGUUUCCAUCUAAUUUUGUGGGCAGUGGGCACAGUCUGCCUAUGGCGGCCUCUCUCAAUAGCAAAGCUAUGCUCACUGAGGCUGUACAUAGUCAAAGUUUUCUUCAAUUUGGGUCAGGUAUUCUGCCACUGUCAGGUAUUCUGCCACUGUGUACUCUCUGUUUAGAGCCAAAUAACAUUCCAGUUUGCUCAGUUUUUUUGUUGAUUCUUUACAAUGUUUCCAGCAUUAUCUUUUAGUUUUCUCAUUAUUUGGUUGGGUCUAAUUGUGUUUCUGUCCUGGGGCUCUGUGGGGUCUUUUUUGUUUGUGAACAACAGAGACCCCGUAUCAGCUGGCGAGGGAUUUGUUAUGGAAGGUUUGAGAAUAAUUUAUUUUUAGGUGGUUGUAGAAUUUAAUUGGUCUACAUUGAUUUUGAUAAUUAGGGGGAAUCAUCUUAAUUCUGCUCUGCAAGCAUUAUUGGGUGUUGUACAGGGAAGAUGUUUUUGCAGAAGAUCAUGGUGCUGCUGUAGGCCCUACUUGGUUGGGGACAGAAUCCCCAGAUCAUCCGCAAACUAGAUCUUCGAACGCAGUAAGAAGCAUAGAGUGAGUGCCAUGACCUGCUGCAGAAGAACAGUCAGAAAAUUGACCGUAAUCUCUCCUCUCUUCUGUCCAGCCCUCCUAUCCUCCACCAAAGCUUCCUCACUCUUCCCCUCCCCUCUCCUCUGUCCAGCCCUCCCC